rnacentral:rRNA from 1 species
GAUGAACGCUAGCUACAGGCUUAACACAUGCAAGUCGAGGGGAAACGAUAUUGGAAGCUUGCUUCCGAUAGGCGUCGACCGGCGCACGGGUGAGUAACGCGUAUCCAACCUGCCCACCACUUGGGGAUAACCUUGCGAAAGUAAGACUAAUACCCAAUGAUAUCCAUAGAAGACAUCUGAAAUGGAUUAAAGAUUUAUCGGUGAUGGAUGGGGAUGCGUCUGAUUAGCUUGUUGGCGGGGUAACGGCCCACCAAGGCGACGAUCAGUAGGGGUUCUGAGAGGAAGGUCCCCCACAUUGGAACUGAGACACGGUCCAAACUCCUACGGGAGGCAGCAGUGAGGAAUAUUGGUCAAUGGGCGAGAGCUUGAACCAGCCAAGUAGCGUGCAGGACGACGGCCCUAUGGGUUGUAAACUGCUUUUAUAAGGGAAUAAAGUGAGCCUCGUGAGGCUUUUUGCAUGUACCUUAUGAAUAAGGACCGGCUAAUUCCGUGCCAGCCGCCGCCGUAA